rnacentral:rRNA from 1 species
UAAGGAAUAUUGGUCAAUGGACGCAAGUCUGAACCAGCCAUGCCGCGUGAAGGAUGAAGGUCCUCUGGAUUGUAAACUUCUUUUAUCUGGGACGAAAACGGGAUUUUUAUCUCAAUUGACGGUACCAGAGGAAUAAGCACCGGCUAACUCCGUGCCAGCAGCCGCGGUAAUACGGAGGGUGCGAGCGUUAUCCGGAUUUACUGGGGUUAAAGGGUGCGUAGGUGGGCUUAUAAGUCAGUGGUGAAAUCUCCGAGCUUAACUUGGAAACUGCCGUUGAUACUAUAGGUCUUGAAUUGUCUGGAGGUAAGCGGAAUAUGUCAUGUAGCGGUGAAAUGCAUAGAUAUGUCAUAGAACACCGAAAGCGAAGGCAGCUCACUAUACUUAAAUUGACGCUCAUGGACGAAAGCGUGG